rnacentral:snRNA from 1 species
GUGCUUACUUCAACAGCACAUAUAUAAUAUUGGAGCAAGACACAGAAAAUUAGCAAAGCUCCUAUGAAAGAAUGACAUGCAGAUUUGUGAAGAGUUCCAUAUUUUG